AACGAACGCUGGCGGCGUGGAUAAGACAUGCAAGUCGAACGAGAGAAUUGCUAGCUUGCUAAUAAUUCUCUAGUGGCGCACGGGUGAGUAACACGUGAGUAACCUGCCCCCGAGAGCGGGAUAGCCCUGGGAAACUGGGAUUAAUACCGCAUAGUAUCGAAAGAUUAAAGCAGCAAUGCGCUUGGGGAUGGGCUCGCGGCCUAUUAGUUAGUUGGUGAGGUAACGGCUCACCAAGGCGAUGACGGGUAGCCGGUCUGAGAGGAUGUCCGGCCACACUGGAACUGAGACACGGUCCAGACACCUACGGGUGGCAGCAGUCGAGAAUCAUUCACAGUGGGGGAAACCCUGAUGGUGUGACGCCGCGUGGGGGAAUGAAGGUCUUCGGAUUGUAAACCCCUGUCAUGUGGGAGCAAAUUAAAAAGAUAGUACCACAAGAGGAAGAGACGGCUAACUCUGUGCCAGCAGCCGCGGUAAUACAGAGGUCUCAAGCGUUGUUCGGAAUCACUGGGCGUAAAGCGUGCGUAGGCUGUUUCGUAAGUCGUGUGUGAAAGGCGCGGGCUCAACCCGCGGACGGCACAUGAUACUGCGAGACUAGAGUAAUGGAGGGGGAACCGGAAUUCUCGGUGUAGCAGUGAAAUGCGUAGAUAUCGAGAGGAACACUCGUGGCGAAGGCGGGUUCCUGGACAUUAACUGACGCUGAGGCACGAAGGCCAGGGGAGCGAAAGGGAUUAGAUACCCCUGUAGUCCUGGCAGUAAACGGUGCACGCUUGGUGUGCGGAGAAUCGACCCCCUGCGUGCCGGAGCUAACGCGUUAAGCGUGCCGCCUGGGGAGUACGGUCGCAAGAUUAAAACUCAAAGAAAUUGACGGGGACCCGCACAAGCGGUGGAGUAUGUGGCUUAAUUCGAUGCAACGCGAAGAACCUUACCUGGGCUUGACAUGUAAUGAACAACAUGUGAAAGCAUGCGACUCUUCGGAGGCGUUACACAGGUGCUGCAUGGCCGUCGUCAGCUCGUGUCGUGAGAUGUUUGGUUAAGUCCAGCAACGAGCGCAACCCCUGUUGCCAGUUACCAGCACGUGAAGGUGGGGACUCUGGCGAGACUGCCCAGAUCAACUGGGAGGAAGGUGGGGACGACGUCAGGUCAGUAUGGCCCUUAUGCCCAGGGCUGCACACGUACUACAAUGCCCAGUACAGAGGGGGCCGAAGCCGCGAGGCGGAGGAAAUCCUAAAAACUGGGCCCAGUUCGGACUGUAGGCUGCAACCCGCCUACACGAAGCCGGAAUCGCUAGUAAUGGCGCAUCAGCUACGGCGCCGUGAAUACGUUCCCGGGUCU
rnacentral:rRNA from 1 species